AGUGAACGCUGGCGGUAGGCCUAACACAUGCAAGUCGAACGGCAGCACAGUAAGAGCUUGCUCUUACGGGUGGCGAGUGGCGGACGGGUGAGGAAUACAUCGGAAUCUACUUUUUCGUGGGGGAUCACGUAGGGAAACUUACGCUAAUACCGCAUCCGCCCUACGGGUGAAAGCAGGGGAACUUCGGACCUUGCGCGGUUGAAUGAGCCGCUGUCGGAUUAGCUAGUUGGCGGGGUAAAGGCCCACCAAGGCGAGGAUCCGUAGCUGGUCUGAGAGGAUGAUCAGCCACACGGGAACGGAGACACGGUCCAGGCUCCUACGGGAGGCAGCAGUGGGGAAUAUGGGACAAUGGGCGCAAGCCUGAUCCAGCCAUACCGCGUGGGUGAAGAAGGCCUUCGGUUUGUAAAGCCCUUUUGUUGGGAAAGAAAAGCAGCAGGUUAAGACCCCGCUGUUCUGACGGUACCCAAAGAAUAAGCACCGGCUAACUUCGUG
rnacentral:rRNA from 1 species